CCCCUCAAAAGGGAGGUGCCAAGGCUGAAAGUCAGUUGAGUUCAUUCUUAGAAUUCUGCCUACCACACCUGCACAGAAGAAAUUCCACUUGUGAUGACAGCUUCAGCCCAUGCCCAUGGAGUUCCAUCUUGCCUGUCGUCUUCCCUUCCUGCCUCCCAGUUGGUGAGAACUUUGUCCUGUGCCCACGAUCUUCACUUCCUCACUGUUUUUGGACUUGGACAUCAGCUCCUAAAUUUGUGUGGCAGAAAGACAACAGAGUCUUGCCUGAGAGUGAAUAUUCAAUACACCAGGGGACAUAAAGUUGCAGAGAGCAUCUUUCAACUGAAUCUAGCAUGGGC